rnacentral:rRNA from 1 species
GGUAAUACGUAGGUGGCAAGCGUUAUCCGGAAUUAUUGGGCGUAAAGCGCGCGUAGGCGGUUUUUUAAGUCUGAUGUGAAAGCCCACGGCUCAACCGUGGAGGGUCAUUGGAAACUGUAAAACUUGAGUGCAGAAGAGGAAAGUGGAAUUCCAUGUGUAGCGGUGAAAUGCGCAGAGAUAUGGAGGAACACCAGUGGCGAAGGCGACUUUCUGGUCUGUAACUGACGCUGAUGUGCGAAAGCGUGGGGAUCAAACAGGAUUAGAUACCCUGGUAGUCCACGCCGUAAACGAUGAGUGCUAAGUGUUAGGGGGUUUCCGCCCCUUAGUGCUGCAGCUAACGCAUUAAGCACUCCGCCUGGGGAGUACGACCGCAAGGUUGAAACUCAAAGGAAUUGGCGCGGACCCGCACAAGCGGUGGAGCAUGUGGUUUAAUUCGAAGCAACGCGAAGAACCUUACCAAAUCUUGACAUCCUUUGACAACUCUAGAGAUAGAGCCUUCCCCUUCGGGGGACAAAGUGACAGGUGGUGCAUGGUUGUCGUCAGCCUCGUGUCGUGAGAUGUUGGGUUAAGUCCCGCAACGAGCGCAACCCUUAAGCUUAGUUGCCAUCACUUAAGUUGGGCACUCUAAGUUGACUGCCGGUGACAAACCGGAGGAAGGUGGGGAUGAAGUCAAAUCAUCAUGCCCCUUAUGAUUUGGGCUACACACGUGCUUCAAUGGACAAUACAAAGGGCAGCGAAACCGCGAGGUCAAGCAAAUCCCAUAAAGUUGUUGUCAGUUCGGAUUGUAGUUUGCAACUUGACUACAUGAAGCUGGAAUCGCUAGUAAUCGUAGAUCAGCAUGCUACGGUGAAUACGUUCCCGGGUCUUGUACACACCGCCCGUCCCACCACGAGAGUUUGUAACACCCGAAGCCGGUGGAGUAACCAUUUGGAGCUAGCCGUCGAAGGUGGGACAAAUGAUUGGGGUGAAGUGGGAACAAGGUAACC